rnacentral:rRNA from 1 species
CGCGGCCUAUCAGCUUGUUGGUGAGGUAACGGCUCACCAAGGCUUCGAUGGGUAGCCGGCCUGAGAGGGCGAUCGGCCACACUGGAACUGAGACACGGUCCAGACUCCUACGGGAGGCAGCAGUGAGGAAUUUUGCGCAAUGGGGGAAACCCUGACGCAGCGACGCCGCGUGGAGGACGAAGGCCUUCGGGUCGUAAACUCCUGUCAAGAGGGACGAAAGCCGUGGGGAUGAAUAAGCCUUACGGUUGACGGUACCUCUGGAGGAAGCCCCGGCUAACUCCGUGCCAGCAGCCGCGGUAAUACGGAGGGGGCCAGCGUUGUUCGGAAUUACUGGGCAUAAGGGCGCGUAGGCGGCCGGGCAAGUCGGAGGUGAAAUCCCUCGGCUCAACCGAGGAAUUGCCCCCGAUACUGCCUGGCUUGAGUCCCGGAGAGGGUAGCGGAAUUCCUAGUGUAGCGGUGAAAUGCGUAGAUAUUAGGAGGAACACCAGUGGCGAAGGCGGCUACCUGGACGGGUACUGACGCUGAGGCGCGAAAGCGUGGGGAGCAAACAGGAUUAGAUACCCUGGUAGUCCACGCUGUAAACGUUGGGCACUUGGUGUUGCGGGUAUCGACCCCUGCAGUGCCGAAGCUAACGCAUUAAGUGCCCCGCCUGGGGAGUACGG